ACAUCUUCCAAAAAAAAAACCCUAUUUUCUUUCCCACCAUUUUCUUCUAAUCCAAAAUUUCAAGAAAACAUCAAUGUUCUCUUCUUCUAUUUCAUCACAACCAUUUCAAAAAAAAUAUUGAAAUAUGUUUGGGUAAGCUUCAUACAACAUAAAGAAAGCUUGAGAAUUGAUUGAAGCUUCAUUUUGGUUGUGGAUUUAAUUAGUAAGGAUUCAUUUUAUAAAUUGAAGUGAAGUGAAGUUUGGUGGUUCAUUAAAAGAGGUAUGUACAAUCACUCAUUUCUUUGCUUAACGCCAUAAUAUUGUUCAUCUUAAAAGAGUUUGAAUAUCUUAAAUAUUCAUCCAUAGUGAAGUAGGUUUUGAGAUUAAGUGUGUUGCGAUGAUAAUGGAAGGUUGAAACUUAUGUGUUGUAGUGAAGUAGGUUCUGGGAAAUUUGUGUGCUGCGGAGAUAUAAGGAAGAAACUUAUUGUGUGAUAUUUUUUAUUUGUAGAUAUAAUAGUUACUUAUGAAAGUAGAAAAUGUUAUAGAAACAGAGGAAACUCUGUCCAAUUUUUAAUUAUGUUUAUUCUGUGUUGUU